rnacentral:sRNA from 1 species
GGCAUUGAUCUAUGUAACUUGAUCUGUCUCAAAUUUCUCUACAUGGGUUUGUCAGGGGCGGCAGUCAAUUAGACCCUGAUCUGGGAGGCUGGGAUUGCUCCUGCUGUUCCUAUUAGGGUUUCCAAGGAUUUGACCUGUCUGGACCAGGAAUCAGGAUAAGUAUAGUUUGCACUCAUCGUGAAAAUAUUCUCUUUGCAUCAGAUGGAGACCACUACAUAAAACCAAGCUAAUUAAGAUGUAGAGUUGUAUCACUCUCUUAAAGCAGAAGCAUCUACAAUGCCCAAACCCCAUGACCUAAGGUUCAGGUUUAAAUAUAAAAGCUGAUGCACAUUCAUUCUUUUAGAAAAUAUAGUCAUGGAAUUUACUAAAUAAAAUAGACACUUUCUUUGUGGACUGAAAACCUUUUCACCAAUUGACUUUGUUUGGUAUACUAUUGCUAGGAUGAAUUACCAAGGCAAAAAAAAUGUAAGUUGAGGAGAAAAUUAUUUAUUUGGCUUAGGCCCAUAUCUAUGGUCUGUUAUUAAAUAGUGUUAGGACAGGAACUAAAACAUGUCAGGGACCUGAAUGCAGGAGCUGAUGCAGAGAG